GGUUAAGUUAUUAAGGGCGCACGGCGAAUGCCUUGGCACUAGGAGCCGAAGAAGGACGGCACUAACACCGAUAUGCUUCGGGGAGCUGUAAGUGAGCUUUGAUCCGGAGAUUUCCGAAUGGGGGAACCCACUACGUUUAAUCGCGUAGUAUCUUGACGUGAAUACAUAGCGUCUUGAAGGCAGACCCAGGGAACUGAAACAUCUAAGUACCUGGAGGAAGAGAAAGAAAAAUCGAUUCCCUGAGUAGCGGCGAGCGAAACGGGAAGAGCCCAAACCAAGAGGCUUGCCUCUUGGGG
rnacentral:rRNA from 1 species